CUUCCGUUGCGGUUGGCGAACGAGAACACAGUGACGGCGGCGACAUGAACAGACAAUUGGUGGUCUUAGCUGUGCUGCUGACACUGGCACUGUGUUUCGCGAUAGUGAAGGCGAACCCGGUGGCUGACCCACGUCAUCACCACAGGGGUGGUGGCCACGACUAUGGACACGGACAUCACCACCAUGACUGGCACCGUCCACACCAUAGGCACCACCCACACCACGGGCACCACCACGACUACCAUUGAGAACAAGUGACGGCUCCUUGCUUAUUUAAGGAUAAGAGACUGGCAGGCUUAGAGUGAUAACGAUCAUGAGUCCAUUUUCUUGUGGUGAAAAUAGCAAUAUGUGAGAUGCAGAAUGUAUAUUUGAGUAUUUAUUGACUAUUUUAAUCCAGAGGAUAAGCAAUGACAGUGUUUUAAUUGAACUACUUCAGAACAUGCAAGUGUUUUGUUGUUUCUGUGUCCUGCUACUCUCACAGAUUUGUUGUUAUGCAAUCUGCGUGUAACAAACUGGACACUUUUAGUGCCAUGUUGGGGAAAAAAUUCAUAGUAUAAUAAUGUAAAAGAGAUUGGAUUAAUUUGAAAGAAAUGUUGACUAAAUCUAUGUGUAUUAUCCGACACCCAUUGAUGAAUCAGUCGAUAAGUUCUUGAAGAGCUACAGUUACAUCUUUGUCUCUAGAUUUGUUGGCGCAAUACUUUGGUCUAUGUUUAUUUAAGAAUUUAUUAUUUUAAUGCAAUACCUUUUUCCAUUUGUGAACUGAAGACGUAUUGUAAAACAUUCAAUUUAU